GUUCUGCUGAAGUUACAUAUUAUUAAAUAUAGGCAUGAAUAGUACUUUUGUAUUGUCUAUUGGUUACAACUAUAAUAAAUCUAAAUGAAAGCAGCAAACUA
rnacentral:ribozyme from 14 species